UCAUGUCUACCUUUGUAGAGGCUUUCCAGAACUGUGUUCCUCAGAAAACUCAGAGGUCUUUGUGGUGAAACUUGGACAUGGAGGCUUGUUUCUGAGAAGACAAGACCCAUCAUAGCCUUAUACCGGCUGCUGAGGUUCAAGAUAGCUUCAGGAUCCAAGUAGGAGAAUUCCACCAAGACUGUGUUCUCACCGUUCAUCUAUUCCCAACCCUGUAUUUCCAAAAAUUCCUUUUGUAUUCUUGAUUGAGAAAAACAUUGUUCAUCUUGAAGAAAGAAAUCAGUGCCUCUUUUCUCCUU
rnacentral:lncRNA from 1 species